GCAUUAUUCAAACACGCACCUUUCCUGUAUUUGAAAAAGAACAACAAAGGACGAAGUCGAAAGAGAAACUUCCCGUUUAUCACGUAUAUAUAUGGUAUGUAGAUGUUUGCAUGUGGCUAUCACGGUUUGUUAUAUUUAUGAAUUGUGUUUAGAAACUCUGAAUUGGUAUCAUAUUGCACAAUUAGAGAAAAUUAUAACGUCAACAUUGUUUUCCAGAAAACAGAUCAGAACACAUGGAAUCAUAUAUAAUUUCCUCCAAUUAUACUAUUUCUAAGAGCAUUUAAUGUGGAAAGCAUAUUUAGUUUCAUUUUAAAGUUUAGGUAAAAGAUUGUUACAAUUAUUAUGCUUAAAGAUUCAUAUAAGAAAAAGGGGGAUAAGCAAGUGUUUUAACAUUUUGCUUGAGGUAAAUUUCCCAACAUGUUUACUUUAUACUAUAUAUAUGCGAUUCUUUUAGUUUAACUUUAAGGCUUGGUAAACCACAUACUUUUUGACGAUCAUAUGAAACAAUGAAUUUCAACUGUACAACAAAGUAUUGAAUUUGAACGAUCAUGGAAAAUUGAUACUUUUUAUUGUUUUAUUUUUACAAAAACAAGUCAGUCUGAGCCUGUACUGAUCUUCAGGUGAUCUCUAACUCUGUGUAAUAUGAGAAAUGCAUGUUUACAUUAAUGUGUACGUAACCUGGUUUUGAAUGUUAUAGCAGUCCAUUAUCAUGAUUAUCUGAUAUCAUGAGCAUGUAUUAUUUAUUUUACAGAAGCUUGUCAAACAGAUCAAUCAGGCUAAAAGGCAUCAAGUGGAGCAAAAUUAAAAUUCAGUUUUGGGAAUUCCAGUCUUUAAAAUCAUCAAAGGUAGGUUUUUAUGUCUGUAUAGCUAUAUACCAUUUGUGUUUCAAAGAUUAAAUCUUUUGUUUAUUCUAAUUUUGUUUACCUUACAUACCAUAUUAUGUUUGUCUUUAUAUCUAAGCUAUUCUAGUAAAGCUCUUUAUUUUAUGUUAAUGGAAUUGUGCAGUCAUCAAUAAAAAAAAACGUCUUACUUAGGUAAAGUGUUUUCAUUGUUAUCAAUAACAUAGUGAAACCCGCAGUUUUACAAAACUCAGGUUGAAGCUUCUUCAUUAAAAAAAAACUACUAAUAGUAAACAUCAAUGUAUAUAUUUUUAUUAAUGAUUAUCUUUAUUACAAUAUGUGCUUCGUCAUUAUGGUUUUAUUUAUUUUCAUGCUUCUAGAAACAAAUUGAAAGUGGCUAAAAUUUAAAAUAUCUUUUUCAGGACAUACAAUUUAUAUUUAUUAUAUAUAUAUAAUCUGAUUUUUUCCAGAGUUUAAAUAUACUGCAAGAG
rnacentral:lncRNA from 1 species